CCUAGAGGAUUAAGAAGGCAGAGCCUGUUAAGCCAGGGCUCUGUCGAUACCAUCCUCUUAGAGUAAAGGGACGGAGAGAGGGGCCCAGCUUGCAAGAGAGCAGGGGCCUUACUGUACCAUCCGACAGCC